rnacentral:ribozyme from 1 species
UGCCCAGCAGCUCCAAUCCCUACCUACUCGCGGUACUGGCCGGGGUACGAGUAACCUUAGUAAAAAAAGAUCGGGUAACCAACCCCAGUGGGAACUCUGGUCGUAUGCUGACAGGGAAUGG